rnacentral:misc_RNA from 1 species
GAAAAAAGAACAUGUAAGAUGCCAGCCAUUUACACCUGCCCUCCUGAUAAUACUUGUUAUAGGUGAUCGAAAUUAGUUGUCAAGAGUUUUUUUGUGGUGAUUACAACUCAUGAUGCCUAUUCUUCUUUGAGCUGGUAUGAUCGACUUUGCUUUUCUCCCUCUGAAUCUUCUCAAAUACUUCUUCAAAAGGAGGAUCUCCUGGUCUUCG